rnacentral:rRNA from 1 species
CCUACGGGUGGCAGCAGUGAGGAAUAUUGGUCAAUGGACGAGAGUCUGAACCAGCCAAGUAGCGUGAAGGAUGACUGCCCUAUGGGUUGUAAACUUCUUUUAUAUGGGAAUAAAAUGUUCCACGUGUGGGAUUUUGUAUGUACCAUAUGAAUAAGGAUCGGCUAACCUCGUGCCAGCAGCCGCGGUAAUACGGAGGAUCCGAGCGUUAUGCGGUAUUAUUUGGUUUAAAGGGAGCGUAGGUGGAUUGGUAAGUCAGUUGUGAAAGUUUGCGGCUCAACCGUAAAAUUGCAGUUGAAACUGGCAGUCUUGAGUACAGUAGAGGUAGGCGGAAUUCGUGGUGUAGCGGUGAAAUGCUUAGAUAUCACGAAGAACUCCGAUUGCGAAGGCAGCUUACUGGACUGCAACUGACGCUGAGGCACGAAAGUGUGGGUAUCAAACAGGAUUAGAUACCCUAGUAGUC